AGUCGUAACAAGGUAUCCGUAGGUGAACCUGCGGAUGGAUCAUUACCAAAGGAUUCAUUUCCAACGUAUUGUGAACUGUUUUGAACUUACAGUCAGUGUUUACUUGUGAUAACGUAGUAGCUUAACCGCUAUUGCGGGUAACAGUAAGCACUGACUGUACCCUUAUACACGUAUUUCCGAAACUGAUGUCUGCUUUAGCUAUAAACUAAAGACAACUUUUAGCAACGGAUCUCUUGGCUCUC
rnacentral:misc_RNA from 1 species